GAAAUUCUUAUUUAAACAAGAAAACGUUGCUAUCAUCUGUGCAGGAUAUGAGCAAGAAGCUAUUCAGAGGUCAAACUGUUUUUCAAGUACUCCUGGCCCAGAGUUCUGUGAGGCAUCAACUAGAGGACUAUGGCUUUCUCACCUUCAAAUAUGAAUGGCUAAAGUAUGAGUUGCUUGCAAUACUAAUUACUAUGGAAUUGAAGUUUGAAGGAGCUGCUUACUCAGCUUGAUGGAAGAGCCUCAGUCGGGCCCACGGCCAGUCAUCGUUGCAGAAGGGACUUCAAGCUGCUGCCC
rnacentral:lncRNA from 1 species